rnacentral:rRNA from 1 species
GAAUCCAGGCCCUACGGGGCGCAGCAGGCGCGAAAACUUUACAAUGCGGGAAACCGUGAUAAGGGGACACCGAGUGCCAGCAUCAUAUGCUGGCUGUCCGGGUGUGUAAAAUACACCUGUUAGCAAGGGCCGGGCAAGACCGGUGCCAGCCGCCGCGGUAACACCGGCGGCCCGAGUGGUGAUCGUGAUUAUUGGGUCUAAAGGGUCCGUAGCCGGUUUGGUCAGUCCUCCGGGGAAUCUGACGGCUUAACCGUUAGGCUUUCGGGGGAUACUGCCAGACUUGGAACCGGGAGAGGUAAGAGGUACUACAGGGGUAGGAGUGAAAUCUUGUAAUCCCUGUGGGACCACCUGUGGCGAAGGCGUCUUACCAGAACGAGUUCGACGGUGAGGGACGAAAGCUGGGGGCACGAACCGGAUUAGAUACCCGGGUAGUCCCAGCCGUAAACGGUGCUCGCUAGGUGUCAGGCAUGGCGCGACCGUGUCUGGUGCCGCAGGGAAGCCGUGAAGCGAGCCACCUGGGAAGUACGGCCGCAAGGCUGAAACUUAA